rnacentral:lncRNA from 1 species
UGCAAUGUCAAUUAAAAAUAAUAGACCCAUUACCAUUUACCUUAAUGGGAGGCUAUGAUCCAGUUAUCUCCAUAACUAGCUCAUUUUAUGGACCUAAUAAUUUAGAAGAUUUAACUAAUUUAGAGAAGAGAGAAGAAGAGAUCAAUCAGUAGACCACAAUCCUUCCACUGACUUCACCAAGUCACUUAAUCGGAUUAGGAUCAUGC